rnacentral:rRNA from 1 species
GAUCCUGGCUCAGGAUGAACGCUAGCUACAGGCUUAACACAUGCAAGUCGAGGGGCAGCAUGGUCUUAGCUUGCUAAGGCCGAUGGCGACCGGCGCACGGGUGAGUAACACGUAUCCAACCUGUCGUCUACUCUUGGACAGCCUUCUGAAAGGAAGAUUAAUACAAGAUGGCAUCAUGAGUCCGCAUGUUCACAUGNUAAGUAUCGU